UAGGUAUUAACUUAACUAAGUCACAUCACUACCUCAUUCACAAAAACCAUGUGGCCCUCACUCAAAAACUUAGAUCACAAAUAGACCUGUGGAACAACGAUGAGAUUUCCUGGUUUGGUUGAAUUCACACCAUCAACAUGAUGGCACUUCCACAUGUCCUCUACCUUUUCCGAACUAUCCCUAUACAACUUUGGUGACUCUAGAUAACCUUGUGACGGCGACGACGCAUUCGGAUGUCUGCCCUAUCAACUUUCGAUGGUACUUUCUGCACCUACCAUGGUGACCACGGGUAAUGGGGAAUCAGGGUUCGAUUCCGGAAAGGGAGCCUGAGAAACGGCUACCACAUCCAAGGAAGGCAGCAGGCGCGCAAAUUACCCACUCCUGACUUGGGGAGGUAGUGACGAAAAAUAACAAUACAUGACUCUUUCGAGGCCCUGUAAUUGAAAUGAGUACACUUUAAAUCCUUUAACAAGGAUCUAUUGGAGAGCAAGUCUGGUGCAGAGCGACUAACCAUGCGUGCUGCAGCUGAAACUCCACU